rnacentral:lncRNA from 1 species
CCGCCGCCAGCAGCCACAUCCGAGGCCGGGGCGAGUGCCAAGAGCGCGGCUCUUCCCUGGGCAUCGCCCCCAAAGGGCUCCGCUUGCGACACGGGCGCAGAUCCGGCAGCCCCGGGCACAUCCUGUCCGCUCCCAGCAGAGCUGCAGGAGCCAGCAGCGCCCGUCCGUCUGUCCGUCUGUCCGUGCAGGACUGGGCUCGGCCAGCCAUGGGCUCGGCCGGGCUCCUGCUCGUCCUGGGGCUCGCAGCGCUGCUGCCCGCGGAUGCCGCGCCCUGCGGAGCGCAGCGCCCCGACAGCUCCACGGCCGCCCAGCUGCUGGGGACGUGGCUGUACGUGGCAGGGGCUGCCCAGUUCCCCCAGCACCAGGUGGAGAUGCUGCUCAUCGACCACGCCUUCCUGCGCCUGGAGCCCGGUGCCGGCGGGCAGGAGCUGCUCGUCAGCCACUACGUGGCCGUGGGGAACCAAUGUUUUACCAACAACCUCACCUACCUGGAGGUCGCUGCGGGUAACGCCACGCUGGUGAAGCACGCCAAGACCCAGCAAACUGAGGGGAUGCUGAUGAACAUGAGCUCUGAAAACCUUUUGCUCAUCCAGUACCAAAUGCAGAAGGAAAGGACGUAUUUGGGGCAGUAUCUCUACGCCCGGAGCCUGAGCCUGAGCACGGCUGACAAGGAGGAGUUUGAGCAGCACGUGGAGUGCCUGGGGCUGAGGGCAGAGCAGAUCGUGUACGCGCCGUGGAGAACGGAGGUGUGUCAAGUGAAAGAAGCCGAAGGCAGCGACAGCCCCCACGCAGAGCCUGCGGCUGCAGCCACAGCAGCACCAGCCCCAGGGACUCCCUGGCCUGGCAGUGCAGGGAACUGACCCCACACAGGGCAAUAAACGUUUCCUUCAAAUUGCA